AGCAACAAAUGCCCUGCUUCCAGGAAAAGCCUCUAAGCCUCAGGUAACAUCAGAUCGUACCCGAAACCGACACAGGUGGUCAGGUAGAGAAUACCAAGGCGCUUGAGAGAACCCGGGUGAAGGAACUAGGCAAAAUGGUGCCGUAACUUCGGGAGAAGGCACGCUGACACGUAGGUGAAGCGGUUUACCCGUGGAGCUGAAGUCAGUCGAAGAUACCAGCUGGCUGCAACUGUUUAUUAAAAACACAGCACUGUGCAAACACGAAAGUGGACGUAUACGGUGUGACGCCUGCCCGGUGCCGGAAGGUUAAUUGAUGGGGUCAGCGCAAGCGAAGCUCCUGAUCGAAGCCCCGGUAAACGGCGGCCGUAACUAUAACGGUCCUAAGGUAGCGAAAUUCCUUGUCGGGUAAGUUCCGACCUGCACGAAUGGCGUAAUGAUGGCCAGGCUGUCUCCACCCGGGACUCAGUGAAAUUGAACUCGCUGUGAAGAUGCAGUGUACCCGCGGCAAGACGGAAAGACCCCGUGAACCUUUACUAUAGCUUGACACUGAACACUGGUCCUUGAUGUGCAGGAUAGGUGGGAGGCUUUGAAGUGUGGACGCCAGUCUGCAUGGAGCCGUCCUUGAAAUACCACCCUUUAAUGGCUGGUGUUCUAACGUAGACCCGUGAACCGGGUUGCGGACAGUGUCUGGUGGGUAGUUUGACUGGGGCGGUCUCCUCCUAAAGCGUAACGGAGGAGCACGAAGGUUGGCUAAUCCUGGUCGGACAUCAGGAGGUUAGUGCAAUGGCAUAAGCCAGCUUGACUGCGAGCGUGACGGCGCGAGCAGGUGCGAAAGCAGGUCAUAGUGAUCCGGUGGUUCUGAAUGGAAGGGCCAUCGCUCAACGGAUAAAAGGUACUCCGGGGAUAACAGGCUGAUACCGCCCAAGAGUUCAUAUCGACGGCGGUGUUUGGCACCUCGAUGUCGGCUCAUCACAUCCUGGGGCUGAAGUAGGUCCCAAGGGUAUGGCUGUUCGCCAUUUAAAGUGGUACGCGAGCUGGGUUUAGAACGUCGUGAGACAGUUCGGUCCCUAUCUGCCGUGGGCGCUGGAGAACUGAGGGGGGCUGCUCCUAGUACGAGAGGACCGGAGUGGACGCAUCACUGGUGUUCGGGUUGUCAUGCCAAUGGCACUGCCCGGUAGCUAAAUGCGGAAGAGAUAAGUGCUGAAAGCAUCUAAGCACGAAACUUGCCCCGAGAUGAGUUCUCCCUGAGACUACAAGUCUCCUGAAGGAACGUUGAAGACGACGACGUUGAUAGGCCGGGUGUGUAAGCGCAGCGAUGCGUUGAGCUAACCGGUACUAAUGAACCGUGAGGCUUAACCUUACA
rnacentral:rRNA from 1 species